GGAUAUUUUUUAAUUAGGACUAUUUGCUUCUUUUUUGCUGUCUCGGAGCAAUAAAAAGAAAAAAAAGUUUUAAAGCAAUAUAAAGUAAAUAAGUGAAUGCGCACCAGUGUAAAACAUUGGGCCAAAGCCGAGCGGCGGCGGCUGCAUUCCAUAUGUAUCGGGUUUGAAUUAGCUUACAAGACAACAGCAAAUAAAACAGUCUCUAACACCCCCCCCCCCCCCCCAACGCUGUCAUCACUUAGGCUUUUGGCUCCAAAAUGGCAUUUUACUGAAUUCCAAGUAUUUCCAUCCCUUCCCUUUUAUCAUUGUUUUUAUUAUGUUUUUAUUUUGCCGUCUUCCCUCCAUAUAACAAUAACUCGUAUAAUAUUUUCCUCCUGGUCAUUAGACCCCACUUUGUUGAGUUUCACACAUUUAUAUGGAUCCGGUUUCCUCCGUUUCCUGCGCGGGUUCAGGCAUUGGUCCUGCUGCUUGUUUGAUAUUCGGUCAUUAUGUGGAAAGGAGCGAACAAAGCCAUUGUGUCAGACGUGGCUGAAGUGUGUGCGAAAUUCUUCAGAAUCCAGGAAGUCAGCGAAGCGACACAACAUUCACUGCUGUAACAAGUUUACACGACUUUCAGAAGUAACUGAUGAUAUCCCAGCCAGAGGGUUGCCCGUGGCAUCAGCAUCACCGGUGGAGUGAACUAAACUAUCAAUGCGAUGACCCGGAUGACCUCUCGGGGGCCUUCUCCAAUGGCCUUGGAUCUCCUCCAAAAUCCAACAACAGAAGGAAUGCUGCUCUUUUCUGUAUGAAAAGGAUCAGCGGUCAGGGCCGCGCCAAGACCUGCCCUACCCUCCCGGCUCCCGGACACAUGAGAAACAACAAGGACAGGGCUCUCCCGUCCAGGUGACACUCAGCAGAUGGCUUUGUACAGGGAGAUUAAAGGCUUUUGCAUGCGCUAACGUUACUUGUGUGCAUUUCUUCUUUCGGGACAAAGCGGGAGAAUCACAUGCGCCGGGAUCCGCUGUCAUGUAAACAACAUAAUCCGAUAAUCACAGGCAUGGUAAUAAGAAAGGG